rnacentral:rRNA from 1 species
AGCCUGAACGCUGGCGGCGUGGCUAAGACAUGCAAGUCGCACGGGGUAGCAAUACCCAGUGGCGAACGGGAGAGUAAUGAAUCGCUAAUGUACCCCGGACUCUGAGAUAGCUGCCCGAAAGGGCAGGUAAUAUCAGAUGACAUAACCGCACGGCAUCGUGUGGUCUCAAGGUCCGCCGGUCUGGAGCAGGCGUAUUUCGUAUCAGCUUAGUUGGUGGGUAACGGCUCACCAAGGCGACGACGCGUACGCCGGACUGAGAGGUUGGCCGGCUCAGUUGGGCUGGAGACACGUCGCCCGACGGUACCUCCGGUACGGGGGGG